rnacentral:rRNA from 1 species
UACGUAGGGUGCGAGCGUUAAUCGGAAUUACUGGGCGUAAAGCGUGCGCAGGCGGUUGUGUAAGACAGGUGUGAAAUCCCCCGGGCUUAACCUGGGAACUGCGCUUGUGACUGCACGGCUAGAGUACGGCAGAGGGGGGUGGAAUUCCACGUGUAGCAGUGAAAUGCGUAGAUAUGUGGAGGAACACCGAUGGCGAAGGCAGCCCCCUGGGCCGAUACUGACGCUCAUGCACGAAAGCGUGGGGAGCAAACAGG